GCCGAGGUGGUGGAAUGGCAGACACGCGAGACUCAAAAUCUCGUGGCCGCAAGGUCGUGGGGGUUCAAGUCCCCCCCUCGGCA
rnacentral:tRNA from 1 species